UGAUACUUUUGUUUUGCCACUAGGUGAUGA
rnacentral:piRNA from 1 species